UGUGGAUCUAGGUGGACUAGCUCGUCCUAUCAAAAUGGCGUCCUGGAAGGUCUCCCGCCGGACACUGUUGAUCCCGUAUGGCUUGAAGAGUUUGCUGGAAUCUCUGUGUCGUGCAAUAAGAACUGAAGACCCACAGCACAUACAACAGUUUAUCGCUGCGUAUUGUAAGGACCUCCUAGAGCACAGAGACCCCACUCCUUCCAGAGACCUUAGACAAGUCAUACAGCUUUACCAGAAAAUGCGAGAGCAUGACCAAGUUAUGAUGAAAAAUUGGCCAAUGCGAGGUUCUCCGGAGGCGGCUCGGGUCUCGAAACCAUCUGGGGAGCCUGCAGAGAUGUAUCAGAGAUGUGUCA